rnacentral:tRNA from 1 species
GUUCGUGUAACUCAGUGGCAGAGUAUCAGUCUUGUUAUGAACUGACGAUGGUUCGAUCCCAUCUAUGAACA